UACGGAGGGUGCGAGCGUUAUCCGGAAUUACUGGGUUUAAAGGGGGCGUAGGCGGCCAAGUAAGUCAGGAGUGAAAGUUUGCGGCUCAACCGUAAAAUUGCUUUUGAUACUGCUUAGCUAGAAUCAGGAUGAGGUUAGCGGAAUGUGGCAUGUAGCGGUGAAAUGCAUAGAUAUGCCAUAGAACACCAAUUGCGAAGGCAGCUGGCUAGACCUGUAUUGACGCUGAGGCACGAAAGCGUGGGGAGCGAACAGG
rnacentral:rRNA from 1 species